rnacentral:tRNA from 1 species
GGAAAUAUGACAGAAAGGUUAUGUGUUGAUUUGCUAAAUCAAGAUUAAUUUCGAUAUAGGUUCGAAUCCUAUUUUUUCCG